rnacentral:misc_RNA from 1 species
GAUGAAGAACGUAGCGAAAUGCGAUAAGUAAUGUGAAUUGCAGAAUUCAGUGAAUCAUCGAAUCUUUGAACGCACAUUGCGCCCUUUGGUAUUCCGAAGGGCAUGCCUGUUCGAGCGUCAUUUCACCACUCAAGCCUGGCUUGGUAUUGGGCGCCGCGGUCGAUCCGCGCGCCUCAAAGUCUCCGGCUGAGCUGUCCGUCUCUAAGCGUUGUGAUUUCAUUAAUCGCUUCGGAGUGCGGGCGGCCGCGGCCGUAAAAUCUUUCACAAGGUUGACCUCGGAUCAGGUAGGGAUACCCGCUGAACUUAAGCAUAUCAAUAAGCGGAGGA